UACGUAGGGUGCAAGCGUUGUCCGGAAUUAUUGGGCGUAAAGAGCUCGUAGGCGGUCUGUCACGUCGGCUGUGAAGUCCCGAGGCUCAACCUCGGGUCUGCAGUCGAUACGGGCAAACUAGAGUAUUGCAGGGGAGACUGGAAUUCCUGGUGUAGCGGUGAAAUGCGCAGAUAUCAGGAGGAACACCGGUGGCGAAGGCGGGUCUCUGGGCAAUAACUGACGCUGAGGAGCGAAAGCGUGGGGAGCGAACAGG
rnacentral:rRNA from 1 species